rnacentral:rRNA from 1 species
AUACGUAGGUGACAAGCGUUAUCCGGAUUUACUGGGCGUAAAGGGCGUGUAGGCGGUCUUGCAAGUCAGAAGUGAAAUUCCUGAGCUCAACUCGGGCGCUGCUUCUGAAACUGCAGGACUUGAGUGCUGGAGGGGAUAGUGGAAUUCCUAGUGUAGCGGUAAAAUGCGCAGAUAUUAGGAGGAACACCGGUGGCGAAGGCGGCUAUCUGGACAGUAACUGACGCUGAGGCGCGAAAGCACGGGGAGCAAACAGGAUUAGAUACCCUGGUAGUCCGUGCCGUAAACGAUGAAUACUAGGUGUAGGGGGUAUCGACUCCCUCUGUGCCGCAGUUAACACAUUAAGUAUUCCACCUGGGGAGUACGGCCGCAAGGUUGAAACUCAAAGGAAUUGGCGGG